rnacentral:rRNA from 1 species
CGGCUCCUACGGGAGGCAGCAGUGGGAAUAUUGCACAAUGGGGGGAACCCUGAUGCAGCAACGCCGCGUGAGUGAAGAAGUCAUUCGUGAUGUAAAGCUCUAUCAGCAGGGAAGAAAAUGACGGUACCUGAGUAAGAAGCCCCGGCUAACUACGUGCCAGCAGCCGCGGUAAUACGUAGGGGGCAAGCGCUAUCCGGAUUUACUGGGUGUAAAGGGAGCGUAGACGGCCAGACAAGUCUGAAGUGAAAAUCCAG